rnacentral:snoRNA from 2 species
GAUUGGCAGGGAUGAUGAAUCAAUUAGAUGUGUGAAGCCACCUUAUGAACUUAAUUUUUGAGGCAUAAAUUUUGUCUGACCUGCCAAUU